UCCNCAGCCUCUGGUGCCUUAUAACUGA
rnacentral:piRNA from 1 species